AUGUCCUGCCUGCACAACCACGCCGGGAUCGCCGGGAGGAUGACCAUGGAUUCCGUGGCGUCCCUCGACCUCGCCGACUUCGACCGCACCAUGGCGGCCAACGCCCGGUCCGCCGUCGCCGGGAUCAAGCACGCGGCACGCGUGAUGGUGCCGCGCCGGAGCGGGUGCAUCAUCUGCACGGCGGGUGCUCGGCGGCGUGAACCCCGCGUACUGCAUCUCCAAGGCCGCCGUGAUCGGCGCCGUCCGGGCGUUGGCCGGGGAGCUGGGGAGGCAGGGCGUGCGCGUGAACGCCAUCUCGCCGCAUGGCAUCGCGACGCCGUUUGGGCUGCGUGGGCUGGCGGAGCUGCUCCCGGAGGCGAGCGAGGAGGAGCUGAGGCGGAUGGUGGAGUCGGGCAUGAACGAGAUGGGCGGGGCGGUUCUGGAGGUGGAGGACAUCGCGCGGGCGGCCGUGUACCUGGCGUCCGAGGAGGCCAGGUAUGUCAACGGGCACAACCUCGUCGUCGACGGCGGGUUUACUGUGGGGAAGCCCGAUCCGGUGAGGAGUGA
rnacentral:rRNA from 1 species